rnacentral:rRNA from 1 species
UACAGAGGUCUCAAGCGUUGUUCGGAUUCAUUGGGCGUAAAGGGUGCGUAGGCGGCGCGGUAAGUCGGGUGUGAAAUCUCGGAGCUUAACUCCGAAACUGCAUUCGAUACUGCCGUGCUUGAGGACUGGAGAGGAGACUGGAAUUUACGGUGUAGCGGUGAAAUGCGUAGAUAUCGUAAGGAAGACCAGUGGCGAAGGCGGGUCUCUGGACAGUUCCUGACGCUGAGGCACGAAGGCCAGGGAAGCAAACGGG